rnacentral:rRNA from 1 species
AUUGAACGCUGGCGGCAUGCCUUACACAUGCAAGUCGAACGGUAACAGGGACUUCGGUCCGCUGACGAGUGGCGAACGGGUGAGUAAUUUGUAGGAAUAUACCUAUAGAUGGGGGAUAACUACUCGAAAGAGUAGCUAAUACCGCAUAAUAUCUACGGAUUAAAGCAGGGGAUCGUACGACCUUGUGCCAAUAGAAUAGCCUACAUCCGAUUAGCUAGUUGGUAGAGUAAAAGCCUACCAAGGCAACGAUCGGUAACUGGUCUGAGAGGAUGAUCCGUGACACUGGAACUGAGACACGGUCCAGACUCCUACGGGAGGCAGCAGUGGGGAAUUUUGGACAAUGGGCGAAAGCCUGAUCCAGCAAUGCCGCGUGGGUGAAGAAGGCCUUCGGGUUGUAAAGCCCUUUCGGAUAGAAAGAAAACUCUUACUCUAACAUUGUGAGAGAAUGACGGUACUAUCAUAAGAAGCACCGGCUAACUACGUGCCAGCAGCCGCAGUAACAC